GGGUGCGGGCCAAGAGGAUUUGAUGUGUGGAGCAGGAAGAGCAAAGAUCAGGACGGGAACGGAGAUCCCAGAAAGCCUGAACGUAAGCUUCGCAGGAUGACUCCAGGAGCCAGGCAGAGGACUACCUCGGCUCGGCCGAGUCUAGGGCGAGGCGUCCAGAAGGUUUAGCACCGGAAGGUUAAUCGCCGUGGCCACUAGAGAGGGAAAAGAAAAUGAGUAUCUUACAGAAAAGCGGUUUGGUUGGACAUAGCAUCCCUGAAUCAUUUUAUCUGGGUGCUAGUUGCAGCAUGGGCAUGGAUAGGAAUGCCCAGUGAAGGAGAAAAGGCAAGAAGAAGACAAGGAAGGAGGUGAGUAUAGGGCCAUGGGGACUGCUUCAUUACAUGGUCUGACAGAAAGCCACCAACAGGACAAGGAGCCAUGAGGCUCAAGAAGAGGAAUGUAGUGCUGUGUUACGGUCAUUGCUUUGAUCAAUGCUGUCUUGGACAUCAGAAUACACUCUAGCUAAUUUAAAUAAAAGACAUGUAUUAAAAGUCACUAGCAAUUCAUAGAAUUGUUAGGAAAAGCAAGGACACAGAGGCUAGGCUGAGCUUCCAGGAAUAACUGUCAGAGGAGCUGCUGCCUCUGCCAUCAUCAGGGAGUCAUUGAUCUGGAAGCUAUGUCCCUGCUAUCAGCUGGAGAACCUUCCUGCCCCACUGCAAUGCACACCAGCAAAAAGCGAUGCCUCUAGCCCUGCCUUCCUGCCCAGCAUCUCAGUUUCAAAUAACAGUCUCAGAGAGGCGUCUGAUGGGUGGAAUUGAAACCUCAACUGGAAACAGUGGAGAGGGAAUAUGGAAAAUGUCAUUUUUAGCUUUCUCCCUGCUGCCAAGAAGGUAUGCAAAGCAGAAAUAGAAUGAAUGCUGAAUGAGUCAGCCCACAGUAUCUUCCUCAGAAGGAAAAGAAGGCCUGUGUUUCAAGGAGGGAGUGGUUAGGCUGGCAGUGUCAGACGAUGCUGAAAGAGCCAAUGAGCCUUUCUGGAAUUUAGUGAUGGCAGGACACCUCAACAAAGCUGAACCAGUGCAUUCACGGAAGUGGAGUCCUUGAAGAAUGAAUGUAAAAUAAGAAUAUGAGGACAACACGUAUCAUCAAGUGUUUUCAGAAACUUGGCUGUACAGAGAUGAAAGAGACAGGGCAGAGCUGCAGGGGUGAGGGGUGUGAAGGGACAACACAGAGUCAUUUUCCCUUCUUCUCCUUUGACUCGGGUUGGUUUGGUUUCUAGAUAUCUAAAAACCUAUGAGAAAGUCGUUUGAGGCAGGAAUUGGAUAAAAAGAUAAAAUAGAUCAUUAGAAGGGGGAAAGGGCUAAUCCAUACAGUGAGGUUUCUGAGAAGGCAGCUGGGGUGGGGGCAGGGAGGCCUAGAGCACAGGUGGAGAGUGAGCCUGGUGUGGAGUUAGCUGAUUCUCCCCAGAGCAAGACGAGGAUGUGGAGGGUGGAAGCGGCCUCACAGACAUGGUAGGAGAAAGACAGGCACUGCCAUCUGGUAGCUUAUAUUUUCUCUGUGAAGUGGGAUGCUCAGUCAUUGGCUGAGAGGGAGGAGGAGGAGUGGGCAGCUGAGAGAGAGGAGAGGAUCCGCUCGAUGGCUCCUCUGGAGAGUGAGAGGGCGAGGGGGGCCACAGACACAGCAAGGGGUGAGCAUCACACCCUGUGAGCAUGGCAGGACCUGCGCGCUGGUGUGUGGCACUCCUGGAGCAGAAGCUAUACACAACACACACACACACACACACACACAGAGAGACAAACACAGAUGCAGACAUACAGACAUGCACACACACAGACACACAGAGACAGACACACACAGAGACACAUAUACAGACACACACACAGACAUAGAAACACAGACACACAUAUACACAGAAACACAGACAUAGACCCACACACACAGAAACACACAGACCCCCCUACACACGGGCACACAGACAUACAUAUGUAUGAUACUUGGGUUUUUGCCAGAUGGGUACAACACAAAGAAAACAUGAGCUGGGGAGUUGGUUCUGUGAACGCCUAGCUGGUUUGAGAGGAAAACAGAAAGGUAAGGGUUGAGGGAGUGGGAGAAACAGAGGCUGUGGCACCACUUCAAACCAGGUGGCACCAAGAGCCUGUGUGGCAAGGGAGAGGGGAGGAGGGGAAGCAAAUUUCGGGACAAGAGGCACUGAGAGUGCCUCUGAUGACUUAGGGAGAUGCAGUAUUUUGAAUGAUUUCUGUUUUCCAGAUCCUAUAAUAGACUCAAUGAUAACCCCAGGGAAAUUCUAAUAAUGGCGAUGACACAUCCACAGGUGACAGAUUUACCAAGAAACCUAAGCUGCAGGGCCUGUCACCUGCAGGCCCUGCGAGGGGCACUAGCAAUUUUUGUAAUUGUUAUUUUGCAUAUAUGCACAAGCUUCAGGACCCACAAAGCUUAGGUUCACCCAUGGGCCCCUCCAUGGGCCUUGGGAGAGGACGUGCAAGUAAGAAACACCAGUUAAAGGUUCCUCAGCAUCACGGCAUCUCCAUCCCAUCACAACAUCUAACUACUGAAAGAAAUGAGCAUCUGUCUGAAGUUUCCACUCAUAUGCAUAUGUGUAUGGCAUAGACUUUUAGAUACUCCUAACCAACAGAAUAUGACCAACGUGAUGGGGUGUGACUCCCAGGAUUAUGCAGUUAUACAAGAUUUGGUCUCCUUGAAAGGUUUGAAGAAGCCAGCUACCAUGAGGUCUACAUCCACAAGGAAAUACAUUCUUUCCACACUUCGAGGCAAGAUUUGCCAUGGUGCCCAGGAUGGUCUUAAACUCCUAGACUCAAGAGAUCCUCCUGCCUGGACCUUCCAAGCCACUGGGAUUACAGCCAAGCUCAAUUCUUGGAAUGAAUAUCGUUAUCUGUGGCCAUAAGCAAUGGAAAACGCCUCCAUGUAAGGUGAUCCCUCUCAUUUUCUGGCAAUAAGCUAAAGAAAAGGUGACUUGAGCUUCUCAUGUGUUUUGAUCACUCAACGAAGACAGAACAGGGUGUUCCAUAACCUGAUAGUGGGAGAGCACAUUGAAAAAGGUGGCUCCUGCAUGUGCGCCAGCUCCUGCAAGUACAAAGGGUGCAAAUGCACCUCCUGCAAGACGAGCUGCUGUUCCUGUUGUCCCAUGGGCUGUGCCAAGUGUGCCCAGGGCUGCAUCUGCAAAGGGGCGUCUGAGAAGUGCAGCUGCUGUGCCUGAUAUGGGGACAGCUCUGCUUCCAGAUGUAAAUAGACCAACCUGCACAAACCUGGAUUUAAAAAAAAAAUAACCCUAAGCCGUUUGCUGCAUUUCUUUUUCUCUUAAAUAUAUUCAACGAGAAAAAAAUUCAGUGAAUACAUGAAGAAACAACAGGAAAAACGAAAGAUGUACAAACUUUGACGAUAUGAUGAUGUGGAAGGCAACCUCAGGGAAACUGGGAAAGGCAGCCAGGACCUCGGGGACCUGGCGUACCUCCAGGCGCACAGCCCUUUCUGUGAGAGCGAGCAGGCGCCAAAGGCACGGUCCCACGGUGUGCACCAAGCAGAGCUCAGGGAGUGGUGUGCCUGGCCCUCUGCCGCGCACAGCCCAGCCCGGCCCAGCCCAGGACCUCUUUUCUUGAAGAGUGGAGGAUGGAAGGGAGGAAGGCAGGGCCCUGUGUCUGGCCUGCUGCUGUGAAGAGAAGAAACGAGGCCGAAGGACCUGGAUGACUAUGAAGGUGGGUCGAAGGUCACAUGGGAGGCUGGUGCUGUGCACACAACUCCCUUGCUGCGCUUCCCACCUCGGUCCUAUCUAGGAACGUGAGCACUAGGCUGGGGCUGCCCACGGAUUCCCACAGAGGCGAACUUAGGUCACUGGUGCCGGGUGCGAGGGUGGGGAUACGGCCACCACCUGAGGCUGGGUUCCCGGACCGCCCAGGACAGGAGUGGACGGCAAUCUACGGGAAAUUCGGGAGGGCCUGGAUUAUAGUCAGGACGGCGCAUAACGCCGGGAGCACAGCCCCUUCAAAGCCAGCGAGAGCCAAAGGGCCGCCCUCAGGGUGCAUCCUGCGCCUGGCGAGGAUCCUGAGCUCGGCCAGCCUGCAGCGCGCAGUCAGGCCCUGAACCCGGGGGCGUUGCUGACACUGUGAGGGGUGGCUGCCAGACCUGCGCCAGGGCGUCUGGCCUGAUCCUGGGCUCUGCUCUGCCUCCCACCGGCCAGCCUGUUUUUUCGCCUCUGGUUUAGGAACUCCAGCCUCAUCUGACCUCCAAAUGGACCCCAACUGCCCCUGCGCAGUUUCGGGGCUUAGCGUCUUCAUUUUCGUACUACAGAAUAGAAGGUCCCUGGGGCAGGAGGCAGGUGCAUUUUGAGCUCUACCUAAAAUGGACUCCUUUGCUUUGCACUUCUCGAGCUUUCUCCCUGCCAAGCACCUUCAUCACUACUCAGAAGACCGCCAUCUUCUCACUGCCUCCCAUUUCUGAGGUGGCUCCUGCACCUGUGGCAGCUCCUGCAAAUGCAGAGGGCACAUGCACCUCCUGUAAGAAGGGCUGCUGCUCCUGCUGCUCUGUGGGCUGUGCCAACUGUGCCCAGGGCUGGGUAUGCAAAGGGGUAUCGGAGAGGUCCAGCUGCUAUGCCUGAUAUCAGAUGUAAAUAACACAACCCUUACAAACCUAGAGGUUUUUUUAAAUACAAGCAUAACCCAUUUACUGUGUCUGUUUUCUCAAGUGAAACAUGGGAAUGACAAUAAACAGUGUUGGCCUUAUUCUGCCUCAAUGGUUUUUUUGAGGGGUGUCCUGACAUAAGAGACCCCAGACCCAGUGGAGCUGGGAUCAUCCUAUAUACUGAGUGCCCUAAAGCAAGUUGGGUUACCUGUCUCUGGUCAGUUUCCUAGCUAAAAAUGUAAGAGCAUCAUGCCAGAUGAUUUGAGGGCACAGGAAUCAGUCAUGGACCAAAGCUUUGGUGAGAUAAAUAGAAUGAAUGAGUAUGAAAAAUAAAAAUGCAAAGUUCAUUUUUCAUAUUCAACAAGGAAAUCUCAAAGGGACAUUAAGAACAAAAUAAGAGAAAAAAGAACUACUAAUGCUGCACAUCUGUUGUAAGGUGUAGUGAUAUUCAGUGUCCAGGAAGGAGGAAGGCCCUGGGUGUCUUGUAAUUCAUGGUGACUGUUAGUUAUCUGGCUAUUUGGUGAGGCAGUUGCUGUUUGAGGUUCAAAGAGGCAGAGGAGUCAUGUGACCCAAGAGUAAGCAUCAUGCUGCCUUAAAGUGCUUUGUGAAUAAGGGAUUUCAGAAGGUAACCUCUGCUGUCCUUGUGCCAUGUUUUCUGUGCCCUUGUGUUUUACAUGACAUAGGGUGCUGGUUGAGGCAAUGACAUUGCAUGAGUGCAAAUUUCAGCUGUGUCAUUUAUACCUGGGUAGCACAACCUCUCUGUGGUUCAGGCUCCUACCUUGUUCCGUGCAUGAUAACAGGGUCUGGCUGGUGGGACCACAUCAGUUAAUUCAUAUAAAGAACUUAAUACAGCGUUCAGUGUGUCUCAAGUAGUCUGUAAUAGCUAUGGUUUUAUUAUCUUUAUUCACAGCAUAGGAGCAUUUUAGUACCUCCAGACAAAUAAGCCAGUCCUGAUAGGCUUAGCUGUGUGUCCCAUGUUGUUCCCAUCAAUAACAUGAGCAUACGACAUAUGGAUCCAAGAGGGAGCCCUACCCAUCCACAAAUAGGGAUCUACGCUGCAUAUAUAAAGCCAUAAGCAAGAUAGUCCAUGUCCGCAUAACAGAUGUGAAAGGAUUCUUGCCAUUUCUGCCAACCCCUGCACUGUUAUUUUCCUUAACAUUUUCCUUUAAAGAAUCCUAUUUCCUUAAUGUAUUUACAGAAAAAGCAAACUCUCUGACACUACUGAAAAUAAGAAUCAGUCACCUUGCAGACAUGGAAGGUAGCCACACAGUUAUAUAUAUCCCUCUAUAUCACUUCUGUUGCUCUCGGGAUUGACGUUGACAUUUGUUUCUGUUUAAAGAUUUCAAGCAGUGAAGAGGUGCUGAAGACAUAGCGAGGGCGAAGGGAAGUUUCAUCACUGACGUCUUAUCCUUGAAAAGCUGAGUGGUGGCUGGGUGCGGUGGCUCAAGCCUGUAAUCCCAGCACGUUGGGAGGCUGAGGUGGGCGGAUCACCAGGUCAAGAGAUCGAGACCAUCCUGGUCAACAUGGUGAAACCCCGUCUCUACUAAAAAUACAAAAAUUAGCUGGGUGUGGUGGCAUGCGCCUGUAAUCCCAGCUACUUGGGAGGCUGAGGCAGGAGAAUUUCUUGAACCCAGGAGGUGGAGGUUGCAGUGAGUCGAGAUUGUGCCACUGCACUCCAGCCUGGCCCCUGGCAACAGAGCAAGACUCUGUCUCAAAAACAACAACAACAACAACAACAAAAAAAAGGCUGAGUGGCUUCAAACCUGCAGCACUACUUUCACUCUCUGUCCUGGGCUAGUUACUUAUCUCU